GACGAACGCUGGCGGCGUGCUUAACACAUGCAAGUCGAACGGAAAGGCCCUGCUUUUGUGGGGUGCUCGAGUGGCGAACGGGUGAGUAACACGUGAGUAACCUGCCCUUGACUUUGGGAUAACUUCAGGAAGCUGGGGCUAAUACCGGAUAGGAGCUCCUGCUGCAUGGUGGGGGUUGGAAAGUUUCGGCGGUUGGGGAUGGACUCGCGGCUUAUCAGCUUGUUGGUGGGGUAGUGGCUUACCAAGGCUUUGACGGGUAGCCGGCCUGAGAGGGUGACCGGCCACAUUGGGACUGAGAUACGGCCCAGACUCCUACGGGAGGCAGCAGUGGGGAAUAUUGCACAAUGGGCGGAAGCCGGAUGCAGCAACGCCGCGUGCGGGAUGACGGCCUUCGGGUUGUAAACCGCUUUCGCCUGUGACGAAGCGUGAGUGACGGUAAUGGGGAAAGAAGCACCGGCUAACUACGU
rnacentral:rRNA from 1 species